AGAGAGAGACAUGCGCGCAUAUCAAUAAGCGGAGGAAAAGAAACUAACAAGGAUUCCCCUAGUAACGGCGAGUGAAGCGGGAAGAGCUCAAAUUUGAAAUCUUAAAGGGUUUCCCUUUACGAAUUGUAGUUUAAAGAAGUGUUUUCUGUUGAGGUUUUGGUAAAAGUUCUUUGGAAUAGGACAUCAUAGAGGGUGAGAAUCCCGUAUUUGACCUUUACUUUCAACUUUGUGAUACACUUUCAAAGAGUCGGAUUGUUUGGGAAUGCAGUCCAAAAUGGGUGGUAAAUUUCAUCUAAAGCUAAAUAUUGGCGAGAGACCGAUAGCGAACAAGUACCGUGAGGGAAAGAUGAAAAGAACUUUGAAAAGAGAGUUAAACAGUACGUGAAAUUGUCAAAAGGGAAGCGUUUGACACCAGUGUUGUUUUUCUGAAAAUCAAUUAAAGAACUGUUUAUGCUAAGCUGUUUAGGACUUUAUCAGCUAUCUGUUUAGUUUUGAGCUUUUCUUUAAUGCACUUUUCAGUUAACAAGUCAACAUCAAUUUCUUUUGCUGUAAAAAAGCUUGAGGAAGGUGGCUUGAGAUUCGUCUUAAGUGUUUAUAGCCUCUUGCCUAUGCAGUCGGAGAGAUUGAGGUCUGCAGCGUAGAUCCUUCGGGGCUAAAUGCAUUUGUGCUAAGUUAUAGCAUUUUAUAGACAACUUGUUGACUAUGAUUUGUCUUGUAGGCUUACUCGCUUAUGUUAUUUUACCUACGCUUAGGAUGUUGAGCGCAUGUCUCUCUCU
rnacentral:rRNA from 1 species